AUACACGCCAUCACUUAUUCAUGGCACGAUCAUCAAGAGAAGCGACUUAAGCCACUCCAGGACUCUCAGCGUUCGCUGUUUGGCUUCGGAAAAACGAGGUUUUGGGGCUGACCCUGUCAAAAAGAAGCAAGUUGGUUUCUGAGUCGCCUAAGACACGAAUGCGACAGGCACCUGAACUAACCACUGGUCUUGACCAGAAGUCAAGAAUCUUAGACCGUAAAUUCUUGGAAAAAGUAGAUGCGGUGAGAAGGUCGGCGCGGGAGCUGAAAAAAGUGGAGGAGGACAAACUCUAUCAAGCAAUUGAUUAUGAUGCACCCGUUGAAACAGAACAAAGCACAACUGGACUUGGCACUAAGGUUGGAGUUGGGAUCGCUGUUGUGGUUUUCGGAUUGGUUUUUGCUUUUGGAGACUUUCUUCCCUCUACAAGUGUUGGGCCUAACAAUGAUUCAGCUGUAGUUGAGAAGAAGCUUACUGACAAAGAGAAAGCAACUCUUAAGGAAAGACUUCAACAAUUUGAAGCAGUGCUUAGCACUUCACCAGAGGAUCCCACUGCUCUUGAAGGUGCAGCAGUGACUCUGGCAGAGUUAGGAGAAUAUGAACCGGCAUCUUCUUUUCUUGAAAAGUUGAUAAAGGAAAGACCAAAUGACAUUGAAGCUUUUCGGUUACUAGGAGAAGUGAAGUAUGAGCUGAAGGAUUUUGAAGGGAGCGCUUCAACAUAUAGAACUGCUUUAUCCAAGGCCUCUGAUGGUAUCAAUUUUGAAGUUCUUCGUGGGCUCACAAACUCAUUGCUCGCUGCAAAAAAGCCUAGUGAGGCUGUUCAAGUCCUUUUGUCAUCUAGAGGGCAGUUAAAUGGUGGCAGUUCUGAUGCCUCCAAUAUUUUACCUGAUGCAAGCAGUAAUCUGGAGCAGACAAUGCAGAAGGUUGAUCCAGUCCAGGUUGAGUUGCUUCUAGGAAAGGCUUAUUCUGAUUGGGGUCAUGUUAGUGAUGCUGUUGCUGUUUACGAUCAGCUUAUUUCCAAGUAUCCAAAUGACUUCCGUGGUUACUUGGCUAAGGGAAUCAUAUUAAAAGAAAAUGGUAAACUUGGCGAUGCAGAAAGGAUGUUUAUUCAGCCAUUUUUGUAUGUUAUAUGCAGGCAAAAUUUUUUGCUCCAGAGAAAGCAAAGUCACUUGUAGAUCGAUAUUCCAGAUAGAAAUAGUCCGUAUGUAGUGAAGAGCACCUGGGGGGCAAGGAUCAGAAGAUUUUUACAAUGCUACGCAGCUGCAUCACAAGUACUAAGUUAAGCGAAGAACACCACGUCAAUCAUGAUUUCGCGAGUGAAUGGAGGAUGAUGUAAGGGUACCCCUUCAGGCUCAUUGUUGGUAUGACAUUAAUGUGGCACAUCCAAACUUCCACAUUUCAGAUUAUCAGUAUUUGGUCAUGGUUGGCGAUCAGGAUUUGUGCUGCGAAGACACCACGCAUAUAAGUGUGAACGUAUACAUUCGUGUCGUGGCCUGAAUGUAUGUCAGGUCGAGGAUACAUCUAGCAGAAAUGUCAGCAGGACGUACAGAACAUUGACACAACUGAAUUCAAUAUAACAACGUGAAGAAAUUUAUCAUGUGAAAAUGUGUAGGGAUGAUAUUUUAUUUUCAUCUAAGGUAGAGACUAACUUUGCAACA